ACCAGCCACCCAUCACUGAUGGGCAGAUAGAUAGAGGCAGGAUGACUCUGACUAGGGUGCCUGUUUUCCAGAUGCUGCACAUUGCUCAGAAGCAAGCUCCGUCACGUUGUAGCUGGGACUGGGAACAGAGCAAGCUGCCUCAUCUAGCUUUGCCCUCUUGGAAGAGCCUUUAGUCUUCAGUAGCAUCAUGGAGGGCCACAAUAGCCACCUACAUGGGGACUGCCGAGGGAAGCCAGCCAUCCUUUGCCAGAGAAAAUGCAUUCCGAAGCCUGACAUCUGGGUCCUGCAGCUGGAAGAAGGGAGGAAACCACAAAGCACCAGUCCCUGGUGUCAUCAAAGGCAGUUGAUGGUGCCAACAUCUGGAGUGCUUUCUGUGAUGGACAAGAGAAUAUGAAAACAAGAAAGGGCACCCAGUUAUCUACAAGACACAAUCGAUCACAAAGAAUUAGCUCAUUGUGGGGAGAGGAAGAGGGAGGAGGAAGAGGGGUGGAAAAGGAAAUUGAAAAUGCUAAUGAGCGUGAAAGCACCUUGGCCCCCUUUCCCUUUCUUUCCUUACCCAGAUCUUCUCAAGAUUAGGGCCCUGCAGCGAGCGAGCCGAGUGCAGGCAGCCUAAGCUCUCAAGUUGGAGGCACACAGAAGCACAGGCUUUCUGCAGGAAGUAUGGGUUAAAUACCAGCUUCAAGGCCUGAAAACAGCGUUUCACAAAAGAACUCUUAUCUUUCGCUCUUUGCAAAGCCUACAGUCAGGAGAAAGGUUUUUUUUUUCUUUUUCUUUUUUUCCCCUGUCAAAGUGUCUUUUCUUUGGGGAAGUCGGGAAAAUGUAGGAUUCCUCUCAUCUAAAAGAUGACUUGAGGCUUGGGGAGGUGACUUAGCUGGUAGAGUUUGCCUAGCACACACGACACCCGGGUGUGAUCUCCAGUAUCACAUAAUCCAAGAACAGGACUACAGACUACUAAUACCAGCACUCUGGACGUGGAAGUAAGAAGAGCAGAAGUUCAAGGUCAUUCUCAGCUAUUUAAAGAGUUUGAGGCCAGCUUGGCCUACAUGAGAU